rnacentral:lncRNA from 10 species
GCCUUCAGAUUUAGAGUGGAACUAUACCAUCAUCUCUCCUGUGUCUCCAGCUUUCCAUGUGACCAUAGAACCUCUCAGACUCCAUAAUCAUAGAAAACUCCAAGUAUUUUUUGCAAGGAAAAGUUGAUGAUACUGAUGAUGAUGGUGAUGGUGAUGGUGGUACUGAUUAGAGUGCUGAUGGUAGUAGUCCUGUAACUUGAACAAGGUUACAGGACAAGUAGAAUAUGGCAGAGAUGGAAUUUGAACUCAAGCAAUCAAAUUCAAAAGACUAUACUCUAAAGCAAUGGCACUCAGGGAGUGAUCCAUCAGUGCCUGUGCACAACAAGGUCCACAACCUGGCAUUUAGUGGUAGGCCUGGAGCUGCUCUUGGUCAACAGUGUCAGAAGUUGGGAAGAAGAGCUGCAUAUCAAGCAGAAGAGAAUGAGAAGAAACAGGAACCCACUUCUGCAUCUGUCUAUAGCAACAUCUGACUAUAACGACCUUCAAAAGAUAAUGGCUGUUGCUUCAUUUCCAACCCUCCAAAUCUCAAGCAAGUAUAUCUUUGGGCCAACUGUAACCUAUAACUCUAUAGGGAAGAGGUUUCUGAGAACUCUGUGUCACAGCUUAACCAUACGAAGACAAUACAAACCAUCCCGAUGAUGAUGAUGGUUGGUAAUAAUGAAGAAAAUAAUAUGAGUGUUUUCUCAAGGAAGGCUACUUCUUGAUGGCAGUUCUGGGAGACAUAAGAGAAGUUUUAUUUUUACCCAAAUGGUUGGUAAAUAAAUUACUGUGUGACAUGACAGAGUUCAAGUUAUAUGAUAUAGUAGAUUCACAUUAUGCCAAAAACUAUAAGCCUCCCAGACACAGCCCAGGAAUUCAUUUUGAGAGCUAUCAUAGGCUUCUGAAUGUGCUACCAUCUAUGCUCUUAAUUUAAACCUUAAUUUGCUGUGUGGACGACAGACUACUCUGAAAAAAACCCCAAAUGCUUCAGUGCAGGACUAUGUGUCGUGGAUAAAGUAACAAAAUUACAUAUUCAACCCAUUAUGGCCAUCCUCUUGUAUGGGAGAUGCAGAUUGUUACCAAUAUUUAACUCUUAUAAUUAACUUGAAUAAAUUUCCUUACAAAAUAAAUAUGUACACUUGUAAAUAUUCCAUUAUAGUAUCUUUCUUAGUGUAGAUAUCCUGGAGUAAAAGCAAAAUAUUUACAAAACAAGGUAACAAUUUUUAAAGCAAAAUAUCUAUUAUCAAAUUGUUCUCCAGAUAGGUAUUACCAAUUACACACCCACCAGCCCAGCAGUGUGAAAAUAUCACAUCUCCCACACCCCCAUCCACACCCACGUGGAAAAUUAUUAUUAAAAAUUAAUUUUUACCAACUUGAGAGGGAAAUGGUCUUAUUUUAAUUUUUUCAGGGGUGGAUUCAUAUGUUUACUAGAUAUGUAUAUGUAUCCUUCUAUGAGAUACUUGUUAGGUUAUUUCCCAUUUCUCUGUUGUGGCAUUAAUUUCUUUUUCUUGUUAAUAAUGCUCCCGAAGUUUUAUGUCAGUCUUUUCAUUUGUUUAUAGUAUUUUAUGGCAAAGGAUUUUCUUAAUUAAGUGGUUGUAGUCAAAUCUGCUAGUUUUUAUCUUUGUUUUCAGUUUGCAAUGUCAUGUAUAGACAUGGCUAUCUACCACCAAAAGUAUUUUAAAAAGCAAUGUGUAGGUUUUCUACUUUUGAAGAAUGUGCAUUUUCUACUUUUGAAGUAUGUGCAUUUUCUACCAAAGUCUUUGGUUUGUUUGAUAUGUGCAAUGAAGAAAAAUAUCUAACAAUACCUUAAGUUUUCUCAAAUAAUAUUCCAAUUAUCCUAAUAUCCUUUGUGACUUAAACUUCCUAUUCUGACUUAAAAAGACUUUUAUCAUAAGUGCUCUACUUAAUCAUAGCCUUAGCACAUAGUGUGAGUCCUAGAGUCAGACUACAAGGUAAUUACUGUCACUUACAAGCUGUGUGACCUUAAGUGAUUUAAUUUAAUCAUCCUGUGACUAAGUUUUCUAAUCUGUAAAAUUGGAAUAAUGUGAGGAUAAAAUUAUCAUAAGGAUUAGCAAGCUGAAUUAACACGUGUAAAGCUCAUAGACGACUGCCGGGCACAUAGUGAAUACUCAGGAAAUAUUACUGGUUGUUGUGUAGCAAGAUGUACAAUGAAACACUGGUACAAUUUCAGAUUUUGGGUUUUGAGGACCGGGCUUAGAGGGUCACCUUGGAGAGAAUCUUGUAGAGUCCCACAUCUACCCUCUGCCUCAAUGAGAUACGAUCCUCCACUUUGAUGAGAUAUUACCACUUAGAGAACUUGCUACAUGUCAAUCCCUGCUAUGGAGAAAGUAGACUUUUAAUCUAAUGCAGUAGACUUGAAAUCAUUCGAAUGUGAGAGAAGAGCUGGAGUCAGAAAGAGGUAAAAAGAGGGCCUGAGACUAUGCCUUAAAUUGUUAAUAUAUUUAAGGGAUAGAAGAAAGAACAGGAGAACUGUUAGAGAAGAUAGAAAGAAAUUGUUUCCUGGAUCAAAAACAGUUCUAGACUGGACUGUGUCUCCCACCCCUUUAAAUUCAUGUGUUGAAGCUCUAGCCCUCAAUGGGACUGUAUUUGGAGAUAAGACCUUUAAAGAUGUAAUUAAAGUUAAAUGAGGUCAUAAGAGUAGGGCCCUAAUCCAAUAAAGCCUGUGUUCUUAUAAGAAGAGGAAGAGACUUCAAGGAUGCCUGGAAAGGCCAUGUGAGGACACAGCUGGGCAGGGGCCAUCUGCAAGCCAAGAAGAGAGCCCUCAGGAGAAACCACACUUGCUGACACCUGGAUCUUUGCUCUCCAACCUCCAGAAUUGUAGCCUUGUGAUUACAUUGGGCUUACCCAGAUCCAGGUCAUCUAGGAUAAUCUCUCUACCCAAGAUCUUUAACGUAAUCACACCUGCAAAGUCCCUUUUGCGAAGAAAGGUUGUAGAGAAGGUACUGUUCCCAUUGAAAUCAGUAACGGCCAUGUGACCUGAUUUGACUCAUGAAAUGUGGUCCCCAAGUGGCUGUCCAUCUUCCCUUGUGUUCUCUGCUGUGAACUGUAAAUCAUGUCAAGAAACGACAACCCAUUAGAUGACAUGAUCUACCAUCACUGCGAGGAGCCACCCGUCACAACAUGCACACACUUUAUCCAUCCUAUGCGCAAAUAAUAAAUUUGGUCAAAAGAUUGCCAUUUCAUGUUCUGGAAAACAUGAACUUAUGUGAGCU